GGUCCCCGCUGUCCGAGCUUGGGGACGCCCGGCUGCACGGCCGUGGGUCUAGGGGCGGCUGGAACUGCGGAGCGUGAGCUGGGCGUUUGUGAGAGCUGUAGGUACAACUACAAAUAUUUGUGUUAGCAUUAUAGAAAGUGAAAACGCAGUGAAAGGCUGUGCUCAUCCAGGCCACUGUGAGGGCACCCUGAUACUCGCGUGUCCGAUCAGGUACACUCAAAUUUCCACCAGGGUUUAUGACCUACUAAAAGGUGUUUCAACAUUGAUUGAAACCAAUUCUUUGCUAAGUAGUAAAUACUAUACCAAUCUCUUGGCUGUAUAGCCGCAUAUAUGCAUAUAAAUGAGAUUUUGACAUAAAAUUCAUGAAAGAGCUAAAACAGAAUGUUCAGACUAAUGUGAUAGUCCUAAAUUUACUAGUGGGUCCUGCCAGCAAGUUUCAAGAUGUGAUUUCUUAAGGCCCAAACCAGGAAAAGUUUGUGAGGAAGGUACUUGAUAUUUUAUUCUUUUUACCCAACAAGUAAUACAUAUGGACUAAAAGCUAAUAUUAGUCAUAGAAAAAGGUUUAUUAAAUGACGAACAUGAAAAAAAAAUCGUGGCAACAUCAUAUGGUAUACUGUUUAUACUAAUGUUUUGUUUGUAGUGGACAAUGUAGACCUAAUGUCUCAGGAGUAAAACAAGGAGAAAAGGAUGAAGUGUUGUUGACAUUUUUAAUUAAAAAUAGAGGUCAUAUCUACAGGCUAGGUAGGAUAGGAAAUUCUGACACCUGAUAAUUCUGUUAAUUAUCAAGCAGUCAACUUGCUGACUGGGGAAAAAAUUGGUCAAUCUAUUUAAAAAUACUUGCUGGGGUUUUUUUUUUUAGUUGUAGAUGUAGGUGAUGUAGAGGGGAAAUAACUGAAAAGAUUGUCGAUUCUUGGAUGUAGAUGUUGACAAUAAAAUGCUUUGGGACUUCCCAGAAGUCCUGCACUAAAAUAAAAAAGACUAAAUUUGUUGUUAAUAAGUUGUAUAAAUCAAGUCACCGUGACGUUGUUAAAAAACCAAAUUGCACCCCGAAGCCAUAUUAUUUGUUUGUUUGUUCAUAUAAAAUAAAAGUACACAUACUGUCUUAAUUGUUUAACUGAAACACAGAUGCUGAAUCUGAUGUAACUCAGGUAAAUAAGCUAAAUAGUAAAGGGUUCAUUGUUUUAUUUUGGUGUAUAUACAGCACUAUCCUAUGUCAUAUAUUACUUUAUCACUUAGCAAGAAUUUUUUGACUUGUCAUCAUGAACUGAAUUUUCAAGCCAGUUUCAAAUCUGACAUUAUCUGUUGUUUAAAAUACGAUGGUCUGCAAGGAUCUCAGAGUAGAAUUUGUGUAAUGUUUCCUAUAUAAUUAUGUGAAGAUUUAGCCUGCCUUUCGUAGGCCUACGAAUUUAUAAAGCAGAUUUAUUCAUUUUAUGUGUGAUAGUCCUAUGAGAGUAUUUAUACCAAACAGGUUGAUUGCAUUAGUUAGUAGUCAUUAGUAGGUAGUCAUGAAAACAGGUAAGAUAUUUUUAGCCUUCAUCCAAACUUCCAGAAAAUGAAGUAGGCGCAAUUUCCUUUGAAGACUGAAGAGUAAGAAGAAAGAGGACAUAUUUGUGCAUGAAAUGAUCUGACCUUAAAAUAAAAGCCAGCAAGGUAAUUUUUGUUUCUUUUUUUUACUCGCAUUCCCUAUGGUGAAUGUAAACCAUUUAAUCAGUUUUCUGGAUUCUCCUUGCUUGCCUGACUUUGGUCUGGCUGGGCCAAGGGAUUGGGAGAAGGAAGACUUCCUGUAAAUUCUCACCUGAUAGUUCUAGAGGAAUCUGCAGCCUGGAGAAAUAAGAAGUUCAAGCUGCUUUACAUAAUGAUGUAGAUGCUCUUUGUGAGGCACUAACUAUUCAGAUUUUAGGCAUAACACUUGACUGUGCUGGUAGUCCUAAUACUCAUGGGUGUCUCAGAAGAUGUGCAAAUUGGAGGGAAGAUUUCCAAGAUGGGAGGAAAGAUUCUUCACCUGGCUGUGGGAGAGAUGGCACACAUGAACAAAACUGAGAAGUGGCUGUGAAGCAGAGGGUUUCAGGAAGGACAGUAAGCGAAUGUAUGUGAGCGAGAAACAAAUGAAGAAAGCAAUGCUUGGAAGAAAAAUAUUCCAAAAUAGUUUUUAGAUCAGAAAAGUAGGAUUCUGAAAGAAAACAUUUAAAUGGCUUGGGGAAGUGAGAUAGUUCAGUAUGAAUAUCUUCAACCAUCUGCUGUUUAUCAAAUGACCCCAAAUGCAAAAGACCUUAUUAUAUGCUAUAUUCACACUUUGAUCUCUUUCUUCUUGGAGGAAGUUCUCUUUGCUUUGACUGAUGGUGAAAGAGGUCAUCAUAUCGACUGUUGUUACUACAUAAUUAAUCUGUAUGCACACUUACAUGAAUUCCUUCCAUAUGCUGCUAUUUACCACAUUACAAAUUUUUCAGUUUGAAAAUACAGUGAGUUUUUGUGUAUCGCUGCCCUCUACUGGAGAGAAGGUCAGAACUGCUCCAUCAGGUCUCAGUCCGAAGCCUUAGAGCCGAGGCAGUUGCUAGUGGUCCUUUUUUGUUGAUGAAUCACCUUUCCAUGACCGAGGCGUAAAGGUGUGGAGAUCUGGAUGCCCAGCAUCCAUAAAAAGAUUUCUUUUUGUCUGUGAGUUCAAAUAAAUGAUCAUACAAUUUUAUGUCUGAAGUUUAUUGACACAGGCAAAAUGAUGACUAAGCAAUGGUUGAGAUUUUAAGAUGCGUGUCUUCCAAUACCUUCUGGAAAAGAGGCAUCUAAAUUCAACACAGAGAUGCUGAAAAUUCUGAGCAGUGCUGCUCUGAAAAGUAUUUGCCUAUAACUUUAUUUAUAACCUCAUCAUUUUUCAUAUCUAAAUACUUUGGUUCACUCUCCACUGCAUUACAAAAAGAUUGCCCUCCAGCUCUUUUCCUAUCUGACCUUUCAUGCCUCUUUAUUUACCUUUCACCAUCUAUAUAAAUACUGCCAGAGUACCACAUUUAUUUUACAUUUUAUUUUCAUUUUUCUUCCAGACUGGGCAUUAGCAGAACAACAGAAACGUGAAGAGCACAGCAGUGAUAUUCUCCCAGUUCCUCAGUGUUUCAUUCUCUCCACCUACUGUCACGACAACCUAUGCACAUCCAAAGCAGUUUCUGUUGGAAUGCACUGAGUUUUUCAGCUGUCUGAGCACAUCCAUCGCCAAGGCAUGCUGAGAGCUGUGAAGGAUGAGGCCUGCUCAGAGCAUGCAGGAAAGAAAGUUUCACUAUCACGUUCAAAAUAUGUCUUCUACACAGUAAUAGUGGAAGAUACUUCUCUACUCAGACCAACUGCACAUCAAAGAGCUCACAACUGUCAACUGAGAGCCAAACUGAGACCUUGACUACCAUUGCAGCCUGGUUAUCCUCCAGGAUUCUUUGAUGGAAAGUGGCAGACUAUAGGAACAAAGAACAGUC